ACAAAGGAGACAGCAUAUGAUGCAGCUGCUGAGCGUCGGUGUAGUAUCCCCAGCCUCAGUUACCAUGCCUUCCCGUUUCCCUUCUAUCUGCUUCUUCGGCGACCGUCGUCUGUGCUCGCCGCCGUGCCUCCUCCUCCUGCUGAUGCUGCUGGUUGUGCUUGCCACAACCAGCAGCAGGUGUGUGGUGGAGGCGCGUCGGAAUGUGAUCACGCAUAUCAAGGGGUUCCGUGGUCCUCUGCCCUUCCACCUCGAGACAGGGUACGUCGAGGUCGAUGAGGAGCAUGGCGUGCGUCUCUUCUACUACUUCAUCGAGUCGGAGCGGAAGCCGGCGGAGGACCCCCUCAUCCUGUGGAUCACCGGCGGCCCAGGAUGCUCCGCGCUCUCUGGUCUCCUCUUCGAGAUAGGUCCUCUCAAGUUCGAUGUGGCCGGGUAUACGGAGGGCUUCCCGCAACUGUUCUAUUUCAAAGAUGCCUGGACCAAGGUAAGCAACGUUAUCUUCCUGGACGCACCAGUCGGGACUGGCUUCUCGUACGCUCGGGAGGAGGCCGGCUACAACGUCACGCUCACGGGUUUAGGGCGGCGCCUGCACACCUUCCUCCGCAAGUGGCUUGCCGAGCACGAGGAGUUCGCCUCCAACCCGCUCUACAUCGGCGGCGACUCGUACUCCGGCUUCACCGUCCCGGUGGCCGCAGUAGACAUCGCCAACAACAACGGCAAUGGCCAGGGGAUUAGGCGGCGGCUUAACCUCAAGGGCUACCUUGUGGGCAACCCGGCAACCGAUGAAGUGUACGACAAGGGGGGCAAGGUGCCCUUCAUGCACGGCAUGGGCCUCAUCUCCGAUGAGCUGUACGAGGAGGCGCUGCAGGGCUGCGGGGGUGACUUCUACGACAUGCCUCAACAUUCGAACACGCGCUGCACCAACGCGCUGAACGCCAUUGAUUUGGUCACCUCCGACAUCAACCCGGUACACGUCCUAGAGCCGUUCUGCGGCAAGGCGCUGCGUGUGCGCGAUCCCGGCGUCGUCAGCAUGUUCCGUGGCCAUGGCGCCGCCGGCAGUGGCAGGAGGUCCAUGCUCGUGCGGGACGACGUCGAGCGCCCCGACUUCUUCUCCAGGAGGAAGCUCGACCUCCCGGUGGAGUGCCGGGACAAUGGAUACCGCCUGUCCUACAUCUGGGCCGACGACCCCGAGGUGAGGGUGGCGCUUGGAAUCCACAACGGCUCCAUCGGUUCCUGGAGUCGCUGCAGAGACCUCACGCACUUCACGACCGACAUAGAUACCGUCAUUCCCCACCAUGUCAACCUCACCAAGGCAGGCUACAGGGCACUCGUCUACAACGGUGAUCAUGACCUGGACAUGACCUUUGUGGGCACGCAAGCGUGGAUCAGGUCGCUCAAGUUCCCGAUUGUCAGCGACUGGAGGCCAUGGCACUCCAAUGGACAGGUCGCAGGCUGCAGUAAGUUGAUGAUCCUGAUGCUUCCACAUGCCUUCUGAUUGGUCAAUCUCCAUGUAGGUUCACAAGGACUUAUGCCUACAACCUCACUUAUGCCACUGUUAAAGGGGCAGGUCAUACGGCUCCAGAGUACAAGCCCAAGGAGUGCCUGGACAUGCUCAAUAGAUGGAUGUCACCAACUGGUCAGCUUUGACUUACUAGGGAAGUACGUACUCGACUACUCGAUCGAGAGAAUAAGCGGAGUGUAUCCCUAUUCCCUACUGUGGGCUGGCAAAUUACCGGUGUACGUCCUAGCUUCCAUCUCAUUGUCAGUGCUGUAAUAUAAUAGGGUUGCUAAACCACGUCCUUCCGUCUGAUGAGCUUGGAUUUGCUGACAUUCAAAACUGCGGUAUGAUUGGAUUUUAAUGUGAAACAGGCAUUGCCCCUCAUUCUAAAUUUAUGCUUUAUGCACAAUAUAAUGAUGCAUUCGAGAAA